rnacentral:rRNA from 1 species
GACGAACGCUGGCGGCGUGCUUAACACAUGCAAGUCGAACGGAAAGACCCUGCUUUUGUGGGGUGCUCGAGUGGCGAACGGGUGAGUAACACGUGAGUAACCUGCCCUUGACUUUGGGAUAACUUCAGGAAACUGGGGGUAAUACCGGAUAGGAGCUCCUGCUGCAUGGUGGGGGUUGGAAAGUUUCGGCGGUUGGGGAUGGACUCGCGGCUUAUCAGCUUGUUGGUGGGGUAGUGGCUUACCAAGGCUUUGACGGGUAGCCGGCCUGAGAGGGUGACCGGCCACAUUGGGACUGAGAUACGGCCCAGACUCCUACGGGAGGCAGCAGUGGGGAAUAUUGCACAAUGGGCGGAAGCCUGAUGCAGCAACGCCGCGUGCGGGAUGACGGCCUUCGGGUUGUAAACCGCUUUCGCCUGUGACGAAGCGUGAGUGACGGUAAUGGGUAAAGAAGCACCGGCUAACUACGUG